AUUAACAAUCUCCUCAAUGAUCGAUCCACUCGUUGGGGUCAAAACAUGAAAAAAAACUCAACAAUAUGCAGAAUACUUAAGCAUGAUCGUAAUGAACUAAAAAUAAAUUUUAAUAUUAAUAAUAGUGUCUAAAUAUCUUAAAUCAAGAAAUCACCACUCAUUUACAGCUCAUAUAAUUCAAACCAAUCUUAAAAUGGCUUUCCCAAAGCUUUAUUCAACAUUAAUAACAAUAAAAGAACAGAAGAAAAGGAGAGACAAACCUAAAUGCUACAAGUUUUAAUUAAUUCUGGAGGUCUAAUACAAUGGAAUACGGCAACAAAUUUAAGCAGAAGCUGCAACUAUAACUCGAACUGAAACUAGACUUAAUUUCUCGGCACGAACGAAACCACAAACGAACCUCUAUUUUCAAGCAACGAGCAGCUCGAACGACCUCGACUCCACGGAAAACCUCAAUCAGAAUCCACAGUUGAAAACCAAAACCAAAAGAAGAAACUAAAAUAUUUUUGGAAAAUUUUCUGAUUUUCAAAAUGAAACAAGGACUCGAACAAAAAAGAAACUCGAACUAUUUUCGUACUUUUGUUUUUUCUGGAAUGCUAAUUAACAGAAGAAUCUGAGAAGAAAGCCAAAACCCAAGAACCCUAGUUUUUUUUCCCCGAAGAUUUCCUCCCAAUCUCUCUCUGUUUUUUUCGAAAAUUCUCUCCAAAAGCCCCCAAAUUUUGUCUAAAAACCCCAAUAUAUAUAUCCCUAUAGAAUCUUCUUCUCCUCUUCUCCAUGUAUCACCCAAAACCAUGUGGAGCCCAAAAAUCAAAAAUCUGAAAAUCCUUUUCAAAAAUAAAAAAAAAUGGAGAUUUUUGGACGAAAAUUUCAUCCAAUGAUUCCCAUUAUUCCCAAGUUUAUUCAAGAGUUUGGAUUUGUGCUUAAACAAAAGAAAUAAAAGAAGAUAUCCACACGAAUCGGAUUAAAAUAAUGAGAUUCGUUGGGAUUUUGCUACGUGGAAGACAGAGAAGAGAGGAGAGGGGGGCCAUGAGGGGACCAAUGGGUUAAUUCGUCAGGUUGGCGAGUUUUCCGGCGGGUUUGGGCGCGGCAGAAAUGGAGAUGGGGUUGGGGCGGUUGUUUGUUUGAUUGGGUCUUUAGGGUUAGGGUUAGUGAAUAUUUGGUUUUUAUAUGAUGGUGAGGAUAUAUG
rnacentral:lncRNA from 1 species